UUAAACUAUUCCCUCUAAAAUUUCUAACUUAAACUAUUCCCUCUAAAAUUUUCCAUAGCUUCCCCCUCACUCUAGGUCUAGGGCUUGAAUCCCACGAAGAAAACUUUUUCUGCACUCGAUUUUUCAAAAGAUGGGAUUGUCGAUGGCACCUAGUCGGUGACGAUCUUCAGAAGAAGAUCUGAUUUACUUAACUCAGCUUCUCCAGACAACAAGAAAGGUCUACAUCAUUGGCCAUGGUCUGACCAAGAAGUACAGAGAUCUUCAGACACAUAAGCAUACCAUCCAGAGAAACGUUGACAGCAUGCACAAGACAUUCACAGUGCUGGUGUAAUUUGUGGACUGAUUUGGUGCAAUAUAGCUCCUUAUCCUGGUGCAUAAAAGGGAUUGAUCUGGUGCAAUUUAGCUUGCUAUUUUGGUGCGAAAAUAGAUCUUCAAACUGGUAUAUCUUGUCGAGUAAGUGUGGUGCACUUUGAGAUGCACAACUGGCGUAAAGUUCAGUCUACAAAUUGGAUCAUUUGGGCUUCUAUGGGUAUAGGAAGUCAAAGCUACUGAUGAGAACAAAUAAAAUACAAAUGGGAAACUUAAGGUCCAGAAACAUUCAGAAGUUUCUGCUGGUUUGAACAAGGAAAGCAUACAUGUGGCUUAAAUUAAUGUGGAGGUCAAGCUUACAAAAACGUAUCACUUACAAAAUCAGGAGAUGAUGCGAAUGAACUUAAACCGGCCAUGUAUCAGAACAGUUACAUGUAGCUAAGGGGAUAGCAAAUGAGGUUUCUAAUAGAUGCUAGCUUUAGCUGAUUGAUGUGUUUAAAAUAUUAUCUUGAUACAUAUAUUCAUUUUUUAAAGUUAAUUGUUAGGACUCA